rnacentral:sRNA from 20 species
ACCGCGCCUAGGGUAGCUCCCGAAACCCCGGUCCCUUGCCGGGUUGGCGCGGUUCCCACACAGGGG